CAGGAUAGCUGCCGCUCUUUCUGAAGGGUAAACACAAAGGGUGUGGGUCAUCUGAUUUGAUCAUCGAUUUAUCAGGAAAAUGACAGUUCUCCUACAAUUGCCAAUGGAAGGUCAAAGAUGCAGAUGUUGGCAUCAGAGACGCCUCUGCAGAAGUGAGAGUUUGGAUACAGUUUGUUCUUACAAUACUGGUAACCUUGGGCAGGGUGGUGGCCCAUAGCGACAGCAGAAUCUUCAGUGAUGUGCCAAGGAAGAAAGCUAUUUGUGAAAUUGUUUUUAAUUAUAAAGUGAAUUUUUAAAUUGA